GGCCGAGUUACAUUGAAAGGUUACAGCGCGUAAAUUACUCGAACUGUAUCUAAUUUACAUAGAUUAAUCGAGCUACCAGUAAACACAGGUGUCGUUCAUUACCAUCCUGGUUAGAUUGCUGAAUUUGUCCUCGCGGACCUCGAUCGUUCCCGAUCGACGAAUGGCAGAAUGUGAUUUCUUGUCGCUGCGGUGAUCGCGUUUCUUGACGGUGGACAUUGCUGAAGGGAAAAUUUUUCUCUCCUUACCUAAGCUAAUAAAACUGCAUUCGAAGAAUAGCAAAGUUCGACUGGUAAUACGGGGUGAAGCAAUAAUUAACGAAGAGAAAAAUGAUUAAAAAUUUCUUUAAGAGGCAAUCGGAUUAAAUGACCCGAAGCUGAAGAAGGCAAGUGAUGAUCGCGAAAUUAAGCUCGUCAUGGACGGUGAUUUUCUGUGUCCAACGCGAGCCAAGUGCUCCAGAUACGUUUAGCCAAGGAUGGCGAUUGCAACAAUCUCGGUGCCGAUGCCCGGAGGG